rnacentral:rRNA from 1 species
GACGAACGCUGGCGGCGUGCUUAACACAUGCAAGUCGAGCGGUAAGGCCCUUUCGGGGGUACACGAGCGGCGAACGGGUGAGUAACACGUGGGUGACCUGCCCUCAGCUCUGGGAUAAGCCUGGGAAACCGGGUCUAAUACUGGAUAUGACUCCAUGACGCAUGUUGUGGGGUGGAAAGCCUUGUGCGGCUGAGGAUGGGCCCGCGGCCUAUCAGCUUGUUGGUGGGGUGANGGCCUACCAAGGCGACGACGGGUAGCCGGCCUGGGAGGGCGACCGGCCACACUGGGACUGAGACACGGCCCAGACUCCUACGGGAGGCAGCAGUGGGGAAUCUUGCGCAAUGGGCGAAAGCCUGACGCAGCGACGCCGCGUGAGGGAUGACGGCCUGUGU